rnacentral:rRNA from 1 species
UACGUAGGGGGCAAGCGUUGUCCGGAAUUAUUGGGCGUAAAGAGCGUGUAGGCGGCCUGAUAGGUCGGUUGUGAAAACUGGAGGCUUAACCUUCAGACGUCGACCGAAACCAUCUGGCUAGAGUCCGGAAGAGGAGAGUGGAAUUCCUGGUGUAGCGGUGAAAUGCGCAGAUAUCAGGAAGAACACCCGUGGCGAAGGCGGCUCUCUAGUACGGUACUGACGCUGAGACGCGAAAGCGUGGGGAGCGAACAGG